ACUUGGUUCCCUCGCCUCAGGCAGGUGGUGCGGAGAAGCAGUGGUCCGCGGGAACCCCGGGGAAGCCCCAGUGCUCUUCUGUGCUCCCUCUUAGGUACUCUGAAGUCGGCACCCAGGGGGGCCAGCUCUGAAACCGGCAUCUCUUCUUCCUCACUGCCUCCCGCUCCAAGUGGGCUGUUUCUCGCACCUACUUAACGCGGGUCGCAACAUCUGGGUGCUGGGAAGGGAGGUCAGCGGCUUAUGACUCAACUUUGGAACGGCCGAGGGUGCUUCAUGCAGAGGCCUCAUACCCGGCACUUUGGAUCAGAGUGCCUAGUGAGAAAUAGCUGUGCUGACACCUCAGCUCGCGGGCUGGACUGUGUGCCUCCAUUGCUGUUUUUAAAGGGUCCCAGAGCUCACAAGUGCUGUGGCAGAGAGUGUGUGCUGCUGACCACUGAAUUACAGCAUCUCCUCCUCCCCAGCGCUGAUCAGGGGCCCACUCCUUAACACUUCACCCCAUCCCUUAAAGCACAAAAGGACAAAGCCGCCACAUUUCAAUAAAGGAUAAAGAUGUUGCUAAUCCACAGCACCAUUCCUUCCUUCAAGGGCUCACCACCAUCUACUAGUGACGGCACAAGAGAUUUUGCCAUGCUUGACCUAGCAUAUACUGUGUGUAGAAUUGAUUCCAAGAGACCCUAAUGCAAGGUGGUUUUGUAAACUUUGAAGGUAUAUUGAUGAGGUCCUCCUUGCCUAGGUGAUUAUGGAAGGGCUCUGAAGAUCUUUCAUCAGGGUUUUUUGCUUUGGAGGGCGAACUUUUUGCAAACAGAAUAUGAAAGGGAUGUAGCAGGAGAGAGAUCAUGAUCAUUAAAUACGUAACUAGAAAAAAAUCUCACCUAGGAUAGAGGGUCCUGCAAGGCAUAUUCACCUACAAAAAAAGUACCUCAAGAAUGUCUGGAAUGUAUCUAACAUUAUCAUACAUGCCUUUCUGCAAAAUACCGACAUUUGCAAUUCAGAGAGCAGCAGGACACAAACUGAAGAGGCAGGAACAGAUUGUAUCUGGGUCCAACUGUGACAUUUAAGUUUUCAACUCUAUGAACCAGCUAAAUCUUCCAAUACUUUAAAUAGAAUUUUGGGAGCCAAGUAGGGAGUAAAUGAUUUUAAAAAAUAGAUGAAUUGCAAUACUUAAAACCUAACUUUAUUUAGUAGAUACUUUGUGAUGUUAAACAUACACGAAAAUGAAUAUUUGGACAAUUGAAGCAUUUGAAACCUAUGGCAUAGAAGUUUGCUAUAAUAACACAGCCCUUUGGGGAAUAUUUCCCUAAAGGAUCAAACAAUUAUUCAUUAUCUCUAUUUUACCUUUUGUUCUUGAUGCUUGUGUAUUUUAAUAAUUCUCACUCAUAUAAGGUAGGAGACACAUUUUAAAUUAUAUUUAUGCAAGUUGAACUCUUGUUUAUCUCCCUUACUGAAAGAGUGAAACACUAUUUCUUUAUUAUGAAUGCAGUGCAGUGCACAAUUGACUCUAGAACCAGAGAGAGGAGAAAACUCCAUCUUUAGUCUGUUUGUAGCUGCCUUAAAUAUUUGAGAGAAUUCAGCUUAUUCAGGAUGAUUCUGUUGCAAUGCAUUAGCGUUUAAUGUGGACACUCGCAAGAACUGACUCAUUUUUCUGAAUGUUUUCCUGGCCUCCAGUGUUUGGUGAGGAACCUCAGAAGAACACAACUUUCUAGUUAAUAAAUAUUUUUGAAUGAGAACAUAAAAAGCAUUCUACAGAAUAAAAAUUUACUUGAUAACUUGAUAACCUCUGUAAGGUGUAGAGGAAGAAUAUAUUGAGAUUUUGGUCGUUGGGAAAAAAGUAAGUAUUUAAGAGUAAUAUACUCAACAUGGUCUGUGACUUGGUGUAUGGUUGGAUGAAGGACUAUCUUGUUCUUAACACAUUAGCAUUCUUCCUUACUAAUGGACUGCUUAAUUUCAUUAACAGGACUACUGAAGAUAAGGUAUUGCAGCAUUUUCUUUGUCUUGAGUCCUAGUUCUUAAUUUUAUUUGAAAAUGCAACAAAAGAAAUAUUUGUACACUUUGGCUUUAAAGCACUAGUUUAGUAGCUAUGGGAUGUUUUCCCCAUGAUAACAAAAAUACUUAAAAAUGCCUAAAGAUGAAAAAUACUUUUUAGUUUUUUAUAUCAAAGCAUUUGAAAAGGGGAAGGGUGGGAAAGAG